rnacentral:rRNA from 1 species
GUCUCAGUUCGGACUGUGGUCUGCAACCCGACCACACGAAGCUGGAAUCGCUAGUAAUCGCAGAUCAGAAUGCUGCGGUGAAUACGUUCCCGGGUCUUGUACACACCGCCCGUCACACCAUGGGAGUCGAUAACGCCCGAAGUCAGUGACCCAACCGAGAGGAGGGAGCUGCCGAAGGCGGGAUGGAUAACUGGGGUGAAGUCGUAACAAGGUAAC